ensembl:lncRNA
CAGAUCCCCACAGAACACACGGAGGAGACGAAGCAGUGUGCUGAUGUAGUUUAUUGGUUCAGGUAAUUCUUUAUGACGCAUAAAGUGGUUCAAGCGAUCAUUCAAGGAAGCAACAUCAGUUCUCCACGACUGGGAGCAAAACAAUGAACACAAACAAUACAAAAUAAUUAUGAAAGUAUUCUCCUAGACCAGAACCAACCCUGACUGACGUUUGACCCUCAUCGUCGUCAUGACAACCGGUCACAUCUGUCUGCACGAGAGAAAAGAGAACAUCACAGAGGGAAGGGAUGAACAGUGAUAAAUAACACAGCAGACCGCUGAGUGGGUCUGGAGGGAGAUUGGGAGGGUGGAGGUGGUGGAGGAGGAGGUGGAGGUUUACCACGGGGCGAGAUAGGUGGAGGAGGAGGAGGUGUGUCAUCUCGGGGAGAGAGAGGUGUAGGAGGAGGGUGGAGGAGGUGGAGGUUUACCACAGAGCGAGAUAGGUGGAGGAGGGUGGAGCAGGAGGUGGGUCAUCACGAGGAGAGAGGUGCCUUCCUCCUCUACAUUCACCAUCUCACAAGUUAGGGAUGGGUUAGAAUCCACGUUAACCUUUAGGGUAACAGGUGGGGAAGGGUUGAGGUGGUGUUAUUAGGGUUUAGGGUGG